rnacentral:rRNA from 1 species
GAUGAACGCUGGCGGCGUGCCUAAUACAUGCAAGUCGAGCGAAGCGGGCACGGGGGAGUAUCACGUGGAUAGCCUCCUAUAUGACUGGGGUAACUUCGGGAAAACGGUGCUAAAACGGAUAAUUAAAGAUGGAUGCGUGCUGCAGUAGCUAGUUGGUAAGGUAACGGCGUACAAAGGCAACGAUGCAUCGCCGACCUGAGAGGGUGAGCGGCCACACUGGAACUGAGACACGGUCCAGACUCCUACGGUAGGCAGCAGUGGGGAAUCUUCCGCAAUGGGCGAAAGCCUGACGGAGCAACGCCGCGUGAGUGAUGAAGGUCUUCGGAUCGUAAAACUCUGUCAGUAGGGAAGCGGUACCCAAUCAGAAAGCAACGGCUAACUACGUGCCAGCAGCCGCGGUAAUUC